UAGAGUUUGAUCAUGGCUCAGAUUGAACGCUGGCGGCAGGCUUAACACAUGCAAGUCGAGCGGUAACAGGAAUAGCUUGCUAUUUGCUGACGAGCGGCGGACGGGUGAGUAAUGCUUGGGAAUAUGCCUUAUGGUGGGGGACAACAGUUGGAAACGACUGCUAUACCGCAUAAUGUCUACGGACCAAAGGGGGGGAUCUUCGGACCUCUCGCCAUUUGAUUAGCCCAAGUGAGAUUAGCUAGUUGGUGAGGUAAUGGCUCACCAAGGCGACGAUCCCUAGCUGGUCUGAGAGGAUGAUCAGCCACACUGGAACUGAGGCACGGUCCAGACUCCUACGGGAGGCAGCAGUGGGGAAUAUUGCACAAUGGGCGAAAGCCUGAUGCAGCCAUGCCGCGUGUAUGAAGAAGGCCUUCGGGUUGUAAAGUACUUUCAGUUGUGAGGAAGGGGGUAGCGUUAAUAGCGCUAUCUCUUGACGUUAGCAACAGAAGAAGCACCGGCUAACUCCGUGCCAGCAGCCGCGGUAAUACGGAGGGUGCGAGCGUUAAUCGGAAUUACUGGGCGUAAAGCGCAUGCAGGUGGUUCAUUAAGUCAGAUGUGAAAGCCCGGGGCUCAACCUCGGAACUGCAUUUGAAACUGGUGAACUAGAGUACUGUAGAGGGGGGUAGAAUUUCA
rnacentral:rRNA from 1 species